AUACGGAAGGUCCGGGCGUUAUCCGGAUUUAUUGGGUUUAAAGGGAGCGCAGGCGGAGAUGCAAGCGUGACGUCAAAUUUCGGGGCUCAACCCCGUCUCGCGUCGCGAACUGCGUCCCUUGGUUGCGGGAAGGGGAGGCGGAACUCGUGGGGGAGCGGUGGAAUGCAUAGAUAUCACGAAGAACUCCGAUCGCGAAGGCAGCCUUCCGGCCCGUCAACGACGCUCAUGCUCGAAGGUGCGGGUAUCAAACAGGAUUAGAUACCCUGGUAGUCCGCACAGUAAACGAUGGACACCCGCGGUUUGGCCUGUAUGGCCGAGCCGCCAAGCGAAAGCGUUAAGUGUCCCACCUGGGGAGUACGCCGGCAACGGUGAAACUCAAAUGAAUCGGCGGGG
rnacentral:rRNA from 1 species